rnacentral:rRNA from 1 species
CCCGCUGAACUUAAGCAUAUCAAUAAGAGGAGGAAAAGAAACUAACAAGGAUUCACCCUAGUAACUGCGAGUGAAGAGGGAAAAGCUCAAAUUUGAAAUCUGGCGGUCUUUGGCUGUCCGAGUUGUAAUUUAGAGAAGUGUUGCCCGAGCUAUACCGUGUAUAAGUCUCCUGGAAUGGAGCGUCAUAGAGGGUGAGAAUCCCGUCUUUGACACGGAUAACAGUUCAUUGUGGUGCGCUCUCAAAGAGUCGAGUUGUUUGGGAAUGCAGCUCUAAAUGGGUGGUAAAUUCCAUCUAAAGCUAAAUACAGGCGAGAGACCGAUAGCGAACAAGUUGCGUGAGGGAAAGAUGAAAAGAACUUUGGAAAGAGAGUUAAACAGUAUGUGAAAUUGCUGAAAGGGAAACGCUUGAUGUCAGUCACGUUGGCUAGGGAUCAACCUUGCUUCUCGCUGGGUGUAUUUCCUAGUGGACGGGUCAGCAUCAGUUUCGGUCGCUGUACAAGGGCAAAGGGAACGUGGCACUCCUUGGAGUGUGUUAUAGCCUUUUGUCGUAUGCAGUGGUUGGGACUGAGGAACUCGGCACGAAAUCUAUUUUGUGCAGAGGAUGCUGGCAUAAUGGCCUUCCGCGACCCGUCUUGAAUCACGGAAGGACAGAUUCACUCCCCCUACAUUCAAUUCCUCCUAUCCUGAGUCGAAUUACAAUUCAACUACCUUCCCUUUACAUUAUAAUGACUGGGAAAAACCAUAGCAAUUACCCAACUUAAUCUUAAUUGCAGUUACAUUCCCCCUUUCCCCCCUUCCUUGCGUAAUAGCAAAAAAAGAACCGAACCCGACCCCCCUUUCCCAUCCCCUACCGAAGCCCAAACCCUAACGGCAAUUUAAAGGUUUUACACUUUAUAAAAAAAAAAAAACCAAAAAUCCCCCUUGUUUUGUGGGUUUUAACAGAAAUGAAAAAUAUAUUUAAAAAAACCUCGGGGGCGCACGGGAGGGGGGGGAUUCCCCCCCGGGGGCCCCCUGGGCCCCCCUCUUCCCUGUUUCGAAAAUAAAAAGUUUAA